CAAGAAGUGGACUGACAGAAAAGGGACUCUGUUCUUUUUGUGUUCACAUUGUCAGUUCAUUUGAAAGAGGACUCAGUUCUCUUUCUGGUCCACUAUAGUUGAUAUAUAAUAUAUAUUAAUGUGGUUUUGUUUUUACUUUGACGUGGCACUGCAGUGUGGUUAUGAAGCUCCUCACUUUCAGAUGAACAUAAAACUUGAGGAGAACCUCAGUGUGUCUGUGCUGUAGGCUGUUGCUGUUUGAUGUGUUCUACAUUCCACAUCUGGAGACGUGCAGUAUCUUCUGUGGACCAAACUACUCCUCGUCCUGCGCCCUUGCAAGCGUUACAGACUGAUGUGAUUUUGUCUGUUUUUCAAGCGUCCCAGGUCAUCAGCAUGUGAUCUAGAGGGCUGAAUACAACGGCAAAGAGUAAAGUGAACCUGGAGCGCUUUGUGUUCUCUAGGUACAGGUUAAGUGAACCGAACGUCUGAGUUUGGUUCGCUUCAGAGGGGUCUGAGUUCUAAUGCUGAGUCACUGCUCUGAGUCCGUUUAGAGUGCUGAAAAGGACCAAGUGUGAAAACACAUAACUAAUUAUGAGAUAUAUUUAUCAGUAAUUUCUUUAAAUGACAUUACAUGUCCACUGUCAGGAUUAUAUUAGUCUCCUAUAUUUUGUAGUGCCUCAUCAGCCCAGGCUUUAAAUCCUCCAUCAGCCCCUCCAGGAAGGAACAAAUCAUGCCCUCAUCCUGGAGUAAGAAGUGAGAGUGAGGCAGUUUUCUCCUCCAGAUGUUUUUGACUUGAUGCCACACACAGAUCAUGUUUCUGACAAUUGGAUUUUUCCUGUUUUUUCUUUUUUAAGCUUUUUAACAUUAGCCGAGGUAAAUGGGGAAAGGUAAACUCAACAGAUGACCCUGUGUCUCCCUCCACAGGGGGGCGUGCCCCUCUGCAAAGUAAAACACCACUGUCCUGCCCAGUCGCACCACAGAGGACUGGGACAGCUGAGAUUGAAUGACUUGGUGGUGGCAAGGGUAAGUUUUUAAACAAAUGCAGCAGUUUACGAAUUCAGAUUAUAUUCAGUUCAAUGAAGCGACAGCGCCACCUGCUGUCAACACUCAGUACCUGAAGUAUCACCACUGACACUGACCGUCUGCAGAAGGAGAACGCACAUCUGCAGAGACAGCUGGAAGCCACAAAAGCCAAUGUGUUUCCUAUACUGUUCUUACAUGACACACUGUUUUCCAUAUAGGAUUCUAUAUCUACUCAUCUUUAUAUAAAUCAGACUUGCUGAAUGUGUAUUUUGUUGUCUAUCGCUGUAUCAGAUUGUAGGAGGGCUCAAGAUUUAAGUGAAUGGCACCACUUCAGUUUACUGUGAGCUCUUUGAACACAGGUGUAGUGAGUGAUUAAUUUUGCUGAGUCAUUAAUGAGGCUGUUUGUAGUGUGUCCUCUGUCCAUCAUGUUGUAGAUCUAUACCUCUGCUACUGAGAUGCUUUAAAUUCAGAUUACAUUCAGUUUGACAAAGCGACAGCGCCACCUGCUGUCAAAACUCUACCUGCCUGAAGUGUUAUGUAGCGGAGAAUUAUGGGUAAUUACAGAGCUACGGAGGAUUCUCAAUGAGCUAACUAGCUUAACGAGCUAGGUAGCUUGCUGAUGUUUGUGGACAAAUAUAAAGUUAAUUGACCCAAAAAGCACAUAGAGGUUGAUUUGGCUUUAUCUGUUUGUAUAUUCAGUGUUAGUCAUUAAGUUCGCCGUGUUUUUAUAAAGUUAAAUAUCCGUUUUUAUGAUUUUUGCCGCCAUUACACACCAUCUGUGGUGCCGUUAGCUAACGUUAGCAUGACGCCGUCUGUACAGACAGAGCAGGAGCGGGUCGAUGGUCGUCCACACCAGAUUUCUGCCUACACCAGCUUUAAGGAAACAGAGGAACACACAACAAAUAUGAUCGUCAGCCUUGGAGACUGAUUCAGAGAGGGAGAAAAUUUGAGCCCAUCAAUGAAGCACAAGGACGGACGUGAUGUCGUAUAAGCUGACUGUCAUCAGGAGGUGGAGGGGAUGGUGGAUGGGUGAGACAGCUGCUGAGCUGCAGACCACCAACCAAGACCAACAAACGACAAAACUCUCUAACUUGCUAAAAAAACUUAUAGCGGCUUUUUAAACCCAAUUCAGACCAAAGUUUCGCGACAAGACGAAACCAUUUUAGAACAUUGCAGAGAAAAGUGUCAGCGGUGUGAACUGGCCGGUCUGAGCUUGACUCAAGCCGGCUGAUGGUGUCACCUGACACUCAGCUGGUCAAAUGGCCGGCGGCUGGGUUUAAAGCACAUCACCUGUUUCAACAGCCAAUCAGCUUGUAGUGAAGUCCACUGGUCAAGCUGCAGAACGCCGCAUUGACAGCAGUUGUCUGUUUCAACUUGUCUCAUCACAGAUCUUUGGUCUGA